GCAGUGGCUCAGUGAUAAAGUAUCUGCUUGGCAUGCUGAAGUUCCCAUGUUCAAUUCCCAGCAUCUCCA
rnacentral:tRNA from 1 species